rnacentral:lncRNA from 1 species
UCCUUACACCUUUCCUAUCUACUGGAUACAGACUUACUGAACCAAAGGGGGGUCAUAGACAAUCAGCGUCAAAUAAGACACAAAAAGGCUACUCACCGCAAAUGGUUUUGCUGAUCCACUUCUAUCUAUCCCACUUCUAGACACCAAGCUGAAAGGGUUAAUGUUGUAAUGGACUCUAAUCCCCUCGGUUCUCGAUCCCUCGGUCACCAUAAUCAAUGUUGAUGGAGAAUCAUUUGUAAGCAAUAACACACGGACAACAGCUU